CCCACUGGUUUCUACUACCAUAUCUCGUACCACCAACAUAUGCCACACCAUUAUUCCAAGCAACAAACAAACAAACAAACAAAUGAACAAAUAUUUGCCACAAAGAGCGAGGAAGACAAACCCACAAGGAAGACGACUGGGAGCCUGAAGAACGAUAAAAUGGCAUUUAUGAUAAAUACAUAAUACUCGAUGUUUACACACUCAUUCAGUAACGCAUAUAGAACACUGGGAAAAAAGUAUUUCAUUUUAACCUGGAUUCAAAAUAUUACGUUAUUUAAGCAGUCGGUUUAAUAGUACAAGUAAUCAAAAUUGGUCAUUUGUUUGGCUACCAACUAAAGGUGAACUAAAUUGGAUUUUAGGACCCCUGUUUUAUUUUUUCAGUGUACGAUAUAUAGGCAAUAGACGUGUUGUCUACGGCAUUUGGCACAGCGAUGAGGAAUGGAGGCGACCGGAAUGGGAAUAGGAGUUGGGGAGCCAGAAAAACAGAACAGAAUUCAAGUGUCAAAGUGACAGUUUUGAAAUUGAUUGCAGCAGCAGCGACAAUUGUGUGUGCGUUGCGGCUGAUAAAUAAGGCAGCUUUAAACCGACUUAACCGAGAGCCAUUGGGGUUAUCUAAUGGAGCCAGAGAUAGACAACCCAGAUAGAAUACCCCAGCUCCAUAUCAAUAUCAACUUGUUCAUAUGAUUGACAGGCGACACGUGGUCAGCUCCCUGGAGUUCAUGCGCAUUCGAUUAUCGCGAUCACGUCGCAACUGUGGCAUAAACGAUAUUUGCCCCAUACACUCUACCUAGCCCAUUUUCCGUUCUGCCGAUGACAACGGAAUAUAAAUUAGAGGUGGAAAAUGGCAUAAAUUCUUGGCAUGCCUACGCGUAUGAGAAAUGAAUCGAUACGAAUCAACCAGACCCAUAAGCAAAAUCCAAGCAAAGAUCAAGCAAAACUCGAAAAUUAUUAGAAGUACGGGACGCCGUCUGUCAAAUAUCGCCAAACAAAUUGACAACGAGGGGAGUGCGAAACUAACGAACGUUACGAAUCCAACAGAACAGGAAAAUAAAGCAAAUUUAUGGUCGAGUUCCCCAACGAGAGCAAAAGGUGACCAGCAUG
ensembl:ncRNA lncRNA:CR44380 long non-coding RNA:CR44380